GAACGCACCUUGCGCUCCUUGGUAUUCCGAGGAGCAUGCCUGUUUGAGUGUCAUUAAAUCAUCAAACCUUACAAUUUUGAAAGGCUUGGAUUUGGGAGCGUUGUUGGCCUUUCUUUUUGGUCAGCUCUCCUUAAAUGCAUUAGCUAGAAGCUUUUUGUAGCCAUCUCUUGGUGUGAUAAUUAUCUAUACCAUUGAAUGUACAAGGCUUUUUGCUUCUAACCGGCGUCUAAUGGGACAAUUUUGACAAUUUGACCUCAAAUCAGGUAGGACUACCCGCUGAACUUAAG
rnacentral:misc_RNA from 1 species